GUGCCAGCAGCCGCGGUAAUACGUAGGGUGCGAGCGUUAAUCGGAAUUACUGGGCGUAAAGCGUGCGCAGGCGGUUUGUUAAGAUAGGCGUGAAAUCCCCGGGCUCAACCUGGGAACUGCGUUUAUGACUGGCAGGCUAGAGUAUGGCAGAGGGGGGUGGAAUUCCACGUGUAGCAGUGAAAUGCGUAGAGAUGUGGAGGAACACCGAUGGCGAAGGCAGCCCCCUGGGCCAAUACUGACGCUCAUGCACGAAAGCGUGGGUAGCAAACAGGAUUAGAAACCCCUGUAGUCC
rnacentral:rRNA from 1 species